rnacentral:tRNA from 1 species
AGUGGCGGAAUUGGUAGACGCACUGGAUUUAGGUUCCAGCGCCGCAAGGCGUGAGAGUUCGAGUCUCUCCU